UUGGAGGGCAAGUCUGGUGCCAGCAGCCGCGGUAAUUCCAGCUCCAAUAGCGUAUAUUAAAAUUGUUGCAGUUAAAAAGCUCGUAGUUGAAUUUCGGGGUCAGUAGGUUGGUCAUGCCACUGGUAUGUACUGGUCUCACUGAUUCCUCCUUCCUGAUGAGCCGUAAUGCCAUUAAUUUGGUGUUGCGAGGAAUCUGGACUGUUACUUUGAAAAAAUUAGAGUGUUUAAAGCAGGCUCACGCUUGAAUACAUUAGCAUGGAAUAAUGAAAUAGGACGUUUGAUUCUAUUUUGUUGGUUUCUAGGAUCGACGUAAUGAUUAAUAGGGAUAGUUGGGGGCAUUAGUAUUCAAUUGUCAGAGGUGAAAUUCUUGGAUUUAUUGAAGACUAACUACUGCGAAAGCAUUUGCCAAGGAUGUUUUCAUUAAUCAAGAACGAAAGUUAGGGGAUCGAAGACGAUCAGAUACCGUCGUAGUCUUAACCAUAAACUAUGCCGACUAGGGAUCGGAUGAUGUUAAUUUUUUAAUGACUCAUUCGGCGCCUUACGGGAAAC
rnacentral:rRNA from 1 species